UACAGAGGGGGCAAGCGUUGUCCGGAUUACUGGGCGUACAGCGCGCGCAGGCGGUUGCCGGCGUGCCGUGUGACAAGCGGGGGCUCAACCCCCGAGGGCCACGGUAAACGGGGCGACUGGAGGUAGGGAGAGGGAUGUGGAAUGCCCGGUGGAGCGGUGAAAUGCGUAGAUAUCGUAAGGAAGACCAGUGGCGAAGGCGGGUCUCUGGACAGUUCCUGACGCUGAGGCACGAAGGCCAGGGGAGCAAACGGG
rnacentral:rRNA from 1 species